CACAUGUCUCUCGAUCUGCUUUCCUUUCCUCACGAAGCAAUGUCCAAUCCCGCACGCAACCUCCACCCCGUUCCUCUCUGCCCUGCGCCGCCCCCUCCUCUUGAGAACGAGCACGGCUCUUGUCGCUGUGCCUGGUGGGGAUCCGGUGCAUCCCCUCUCCCCUCGCCUCCUCCUCUCCUGGGUCCCUGCAUUGCCGGCUCAGCCGCUUCCCCUGCGUCUUCUCGUCCCCGCUUCUCUCCUCCUAGUCCAGUCCUGGACCAGAUCGGUGUUUGGCGCAGGAGGCUCGGGGUGGUCGCAGGUUCGGGCGCCAUCUCCUUCCUUCCCGUACACUGGGAUCAAACAGCCCGCGGCCUGGCGGUGGCGGCCUGGAUCCGGAGGCAGACGGACCAGAUCCUGGAGCUGGGCACGAAGGAGCUCGAGGUCGACGACUCCGGCUUCGUCCUCCUCCUCUAACGUCGCCACCUUGCUCAGCGCACGCAGGCCUGGACGAUGGCAAGCAUUGAUGUGCGCACGUCGUUGCAACAGCCACAUCUCAACCCUCCCGACGCACACAAUAAUCAGAGGUGCCAAAAUGAUUUGGUGUUUGCAAGGGUCGCUUUUGUUGCAUUUUCUACAUGAGAAACCAUCUCAGGCUAUUUGGAUGCACCUGCACAGUACUGAUAGUACAUGAAAUUCAUCAACCUGCUGUUGCCGCAACCAACCAAAAUCUGCUCUAACAGAGUGAUGAAUACAAUAUUCAUGCUAAGCUUUCUUCAAAUUAUGCUAAUCGAUCUUAAAAAGCUGGCUACUGGUGUUAUUUGCUGCAAUUUAUUUCUGACAGCCAGGUGCUUUUAUUUAUGUUCAUAUUCCACGUAUGCAUGUGCUGCUCCGGUGGUGUUUUAUUAGUUGAUUGGCAUAUAUGGAUCUCUCCAUGUUUAUUAGUUGAUCUCCAACCCCUACUCUGCUGUGGUGCUAUGGGAGCAAGAAGAGCAUGCAUGCUUUCUCUCUACAUCUAGGGUCCAUAUGGCCAGAUUGACGGGCCUAAACUCUGGCUCAAAGGUUUCUUUCAAGAAUCAUGAGAGAACAUUCAAGGAGUGGAUUAUUUGGAAAUUAGAACCUUCAGAUUUCUUAGAAGUGAGGUUACUUUCCAACUAGAAUUAUAGGCAAGCAUUGGUCUUUAAUUUGGAACCUGGAAACAGCCUCUUACAGAAAUGUAGGGAAAGGCUGCGUACUAUAGACCCAAAGUGGUCGGACCCUUCCCUGGACCCUGCGCAAGCGGGAGCUACAUGCACCAGCUUCACUCGGAUUUAUGUGAAUAUAAGCGUAAGAGGUCUAGUGGCAAUGCUACAAAAUCAUUGCAGGCGUGAGUAUCCGGAUUGCACUACUGCUGGCCGUUUCUUGCCAUUGCCUACAACAGGCUUCUGACAAAGCCAAGUCAUGGCCUCAUUAGGCCCCUUUUUUCAGCCAAACUGAAAGCACUUCAUGUUAGCUUGUAUUCGCUUUUGGAUUAACUACAAUGCAUUGUACCCAUCCAUGCUCCAGGGAUAUAAUAACAUUGUAGAUAGACGGAGACUGAAUCAGUUCACACUACUUUGAUGUCUAUCGAGCCAAUGGGACAACAAAGGUAGUUCUUUUGCACAAGUUGAAGAAUGUUAUUUCAUACUGCACGAUAUGUCUGACUCCUUUCAGUGGGCAUUCAAUUAAUUUGAGGCAUCCUUUCCUAGGAUCUUACCUUGAUAUUCCUCUAUUUUCUCCUAUUCGUCCCAUGCUUUUUUAAGAACUGAAAUAAAUAUAACCAGUGUUACAAAUGUUUGCCGAGGAAAAGUCCUUGCAGAAAAGAAGAACCGGAAGCAGGUUAUCUAUCUUCACGAGCAAGUCGGCGUCUGUAAACCUUCACCAGAGCCAUUCCAGCUCUUUCAGAGCCACAAGGCAAGGAAGUUGAGGAACCAAGACCCCAACGGCGCGGAGCAGUUUGCCGUCGAGAGGACUAGGGCUGCCAUCAGGGACCUCUAGACCAAGCUCAACAUCUCCCUCGUGCCUCCAUCAACACCGUGUCUUGGAGGGUCGUCGCCGUCCGCGACGACGAGCUACUGCCGCAGCUUUGUCAGCCGCACGGUUAGAGGGAGGCAUCAAGGGCCCGCCACCGCUGUCGGGGCCGACGUGCGUGUAAUUUCUAUUAAUGUAUCCUAUGUUGCCAAACAACAACAUGCUCCUGUCAAUGCUAUAUCGUUGUGGGUAUGGCAUUUCAGUUUCUUCCUCAGGUGAUAUUCCAAUAUAAUAAGUCCCAUCAAGAAUUGCAUGUACA